UGGACUCCCCUUUUCUCCUCCCCCGUCUCCAGGAGGAGGGAAAAGGGAAGGAGGAGGGGGUUUCGGGAAUAUAGGGGCAGAGGGAGGAGAAAGUGGGUGUUGAAUGUGGCUGGACCGGAGGGAUCUCCACCUCCUGGGUCGGGGGCGGGGGAGGGCGGCGCUGGUCAGCUCCUGCCCUUGGCCUCCAUCCUGUCGUCAGGGGAACUGUGGCUGUCGUUUGUCCCAGCGAGCGGCAAGUGGGGAGCGCAAGAAAAAGUAGUAAUUGUUAGGAGAUCUCGUCUCCUAACUCGGGGAGUUCUCCAAGAGAGUUCUCCAACUUCUGUCCGAGGACUGGAGACGCAGAGUACUCACAAGUCCGGCACUUGAGUGGCUGCGGCUGCGACGGCAAUUUAGUGACACGCGGCUCCUUUAUCUCCCGACUUUUUCUCUGGCAUCAAACUCGUGCAUGCUGUGAAGCUCUCAGUCCCUCGCUGAGUUCCACUGCCCCCUCACUAAAACCCUGGGGCUAGUCGGACCUCUCGGUACAGCCCAUUCCCAGGAAGGGUCGGACUUCUGCUGGCUCCGUACUGCGGGCGACAGUCAUCUCCGAAGAUCUCAGAUCCCAGUAGUGCGGGAGCACUAGCCGCCUCGGGUUGUAGAUUUCACUCAAAUGACAAGUGAAGCUAGUUCUCAUUGAGAAUGCCACCCACACGCACAAAUACAACAAGGCUUACCCCGAUUAGUGACAGCUGUGGACUGGCCAGACAGCUUUCUAACAACGCCUCCUCCUCUAGGGAGGCCCCGCCCAAAGCCCCUCCCUACCCCAAUUACCGGACCUCAAGGUCUAGCUGUGCUAAUGACUCAUAGUUUAUCUCAACCAUGUAUAAAGAAUGCAGAAGACUCCAGAAGGUGGGGGAGCCACUAGAGGAUUCCAUCCAGGACACCACAUUUAAUUGUUAUGAUGUCUUGUGCUCCUCUUGGCUGUGAGAGUUUCUCAGAUUUUCCUUGUAUUUGAUGACCUUGACAGUCCUUAGGAGUACUGAGAUGGGGGUUUCACGAUAUUGCCCAGGCUGGUCCCAAACUCCUGGCCUCAAGCUAUCCUCCUGCCUUGACGUUCGAAAGCACUGAGAUUUUCCUCUCUGUCCUGCCGCCAUGUGAAGAAAGAUGUGUUUGCUUCCCCUUCCACCGUGAUUGUAAUUUUCCUGCAGCCUCCCCAGCCAAGCUGAACUGUGAGUCAAUUAAAC